UUUAAACUUUACCACACAUCUAUAAUAAAAUAAUUAUUUUAGUUAUAUACAUAUUACACACACACAUCCACAAAAUUUGAAAUGACUAUAUAAACCCGUCAAUAUGACACUAAAAUUAUCAUUUUCAAGACAAAACUCUUGCAGUAUACUGAUAAAAUCGAUAAAAUACCAAAAUGUCAAAAAUAUUUUUGUUGCUAUCAAUUUUAUUUCUUAUCGGAGUUUCAGAAACUUUUGCCUAUGGAUGUGUAGGCGCAUGGUGUCAUCCGCAACAAGAACAUUAUUGCUGUGAGUGGCAUACGUGUACGAGUUAUUUUUUUCAGGGUACAUGUUAUUAUUGAUAAGGAUCAUAAAAAAAUGAUUCCAGCAAAUAUGUAAUGUCAAAAGAGUACAUUUACUUUGAAUAAAGAAAAAAAAAAAAAAUCUCAUUAUCCCAUUUGUUAUC